rnacentral:rRNA from 1 species
UACGAAGGGGGCUAGCGUUGCUCGGAAUCACUGGGCGUAAAGCGCACGUAGGCGGCUUUUUAAGUCAGGGGUGAAAUCCUGGAGCUCAACUCCAGAACUGCCUUUGAUACUGGGAAACUUGAGUCCGGGAGAGGUGAGUGGAACUCCGAGUGUAGAGGUGAAAUUCGUAGAUAUUCGGAAGAACACCAGUGGCGAAGGCGGCUCACUGGCCCGGUACUGACGCUGAGGUGCGAAAGCGUGGGGAGCAAACAGG